UUGCCUACGGGGGGCAGCAGUGGGGAAUAUUGCACAAUGGGGGAAACCCUGAUGCAGCGACGCCGCGUGAGUGAAGAAGUAUCUCGGUACGUAAAGCUCUAUCAGCAGGGAAGAAAAAAAGUCUUUGGCUUUGGACGGUACCUGACUAAGAAGCCCCGGCUAACUACGUGCCAGCAGCCGCGGUAAUACGUAGGGGGCAAGCGUUAUCCGGAUUUACUGGGUGUAAAGGGAGCGUAGACGGUGCAGCAAGUCUGAUGUGAAAGGUCGGGGCCCAACCCCGGGACUGCAUUGGAAACUGUUGAACU
rnacentral:rRNA from 1 species